rnacentral:lncRNA from 1 species
AUGGCUUUUCUGACCCUAAAGAUGUCCAGAAAUCACAGGACCACCGACAGAGGGUUACAGAGCUCCUCUCUGCAGCCAAAGUGGGAUGUGGCUGCUCUGAAAACGCCAUCAGGACAGCCCUUCUCAGACAUACACAUGGCCUCAUUCAAGGCUCGUUGGAAACUCAGGCCCCUAAGUCUUCGUAUACCCCAGGGACUUGCCAAGGUCAUGUGGCCAGUCUGUGCCAGUGCUUGUCUCCCUUCGAGCUCUUCAAUGGCCUGUCCUGCUGCCCCCAGAACAGCUUCCAGGCUGAGAACUCACCUGGCCCUGGAGGCCCAGCCCUGCCCAGGUAAGGCCAGGUGCACGAGGGGAGCUGAGGGAUGUGGAGGGGGAAAAAGGACAAGGUCAGCUUCACGAUGGUAUGGAACCCAGGCUCUGAGGUUGACUGUUGGUGCCCAGACCGCCCAGGGAAGGAACAAGACCUGGGAGUCUGGGAAAGCUUUGGCUUCAAGUUUGGGCGGACGGGCUGGGGCGGGGGCCAGGGCGGGGGGGGGGGAGUGUGUGGAAAGAGGGGAACUGGGCUGCAGCAAAGGCCAGUUUCAGCAUGGCUUGCUCCUCCCUCAACACCCCUGGACCCCGAGACCACUUGCGGCCGAGCUGCUCCCGCCAGCACACGGGGGGUUAACAUCUGUCUGGAGCAGUGACCACAGCAGCAGCAGCCUGCGAUGCCAGUAACUCAGAAGCUGAAAUAACUGAGUCAUGGGAGCCUCCAGCUGCUCCAGAGGCAGGGAGACAAAGCUCCCUGGCCCCUCCCCGGGCUACGCAGCCUGCCUGUGCGCUGAGGACCGCGGCUUCCAGUGCCUGGGAGUGUGUGUGAGGCGCUGGGCACCACGGGAGCCCCUCACCACUCCCCGCCCUUCAUCAGCACCCCCCAACACCGUACCUCAGAGCAUCUGCAGGUAUCACUGUGACCCCCACACAGAUGAGCAAACACAAGCUCAGAGAGAUUCAGAAAUUUGUCCGAAGUCACACAGCCCGAGAGGCAAAGCUGAUGUGACCUCCGGGCUUGUUUGACAGCAAUUAACCCGCCGUGCCUCGCGCCGGGCCGGCGAGAGGAGCAAAGUCCGCCGGCAGGUGACCCAGGGCUGUGUGCCAAGUCCAAGAAGGCAAGAGAUGAAAGGUGGCCCGGGAGCCCCAGGAAAGAUGCUGCAGGUGAGGUUUGGGGCUCAGGAACCCGAGAGGUGGUACAGGCUGGGAGCAGCAUCCAGAGGGAGCCAGAGAAGGUCUGGUCCUGCACUGCUCGUGGAGGAGGACUCGAUGGCAGGCAGGAGGGACCUCCCGUAACCCCUUAAGAUGCAUCCCCUGGAGCCACAGUGUCACCCCCGAGCAGGUGACCCACUCACCUUGACAGAUCAAGGGCACUUCUGGGGCGUGAUGUUUGCACAGCCCUCGUUUGAAGAGGCAGCAACUUUACUGCAGGAUGGCAUCGGCCAGGGCUCUGCUAAAAAUGUACAGAAGCACUGGAGCAGGUUCCACUGGAGCCUACUGGCCAGGGGACAGGAGGGUCCCAGCUCCAUAGUUACCAGUGUGACACAGAUUCACCUCUCUGAGCCUUGGUUUCCUCACCUGCAGAAAGGAGAACUUGCCAGCACCAACACGCAAGGCUUCUGUGAGCAUGAAAUGAGGUGUUGGCCAAAAAGCACUUAGAAGCCUUCCUCCUUCCUCAAAAACUUGUCCCCGCAUGUUCAUAGCAGCAUUAUUCACAAAAAGUAGAGCCAACCCAAAUGUCCUCUGACGGAUGAAUGGAUAAAUACGUGCAGAUCUAGCCAGACAAAUGGAAUAUUAUUCAGCAAUGAAAAGGAAUGAGAGUUCCUGUCGUGGCUCAGUGGAAACAAAUCUGACUAAUAUCCACAGGACGCAGGUUCGAUCCCUGGUCUCGCUCAGUGGCUUAAGGAUCUGGUGUUGCUGUGAGCUGUGGUGUGGGUUGAAGAUGCAGCUCGGAUCUGGCAUGGCUGUGGCUGUGGUGUAGGCCAGCGGCUACAGCUCCGAUUUGACCCCUGGCCUGGGAACCUCCAUAUGCUGCAGGUGUGGCCCUAAAAACCAAAAAACUAAAAAAUAAAAAUAAAUUAAAAAAAAAUGAAUGAAGCA